rnacentral:rRNA from 1 species
CACAUAAUGCAAAAUAACCUGAAUCAACAGUCCUAGUGCAGAGGACAACAAUGAACACCACACCAGAGUACACAUCAACACUUUGUUCCAAGAAUCUACCGAACAAAUUUCACAAUACAAAAUUACUCUUUUUACACAUAAUACAUUAUCACUUGCUGAUCCGAGGCAAAACUAGUCUAUUUCAUAAGAUGAACCAAUUACACAUGGAAAGAUUACAGAAGAACAUGGUGAUAUAGCAGCCCAAGAUCCAGCAAGCAAAGCCAUCUUGAGUUCGAUCUUGAUGCCCGUACCAACCUGCAACCAUAUCCUGUGCUCACCGGAGCAGCAGUAAACAACAGCCGUGCCCUCUCACUUCCCCUUCCAUUAUCCAAGGAAAGGGCAUCUCCACAGACAGAGCAGAACCGCCAUGGAUGCCCGAUGAGCUGUCCCCGCUCCUCGUGGCGGGAGGUGGUGCAGCAUCGAGCGAUGCGGCCGGGGACGGCAGAGGCACGCGGGGCCGGGGCCAUGGCCGGCGGAGCCUGGCUGGGGCGACGGGGCCGGCAGCGCCCGUGGCGAAGGGGGAAGGGCGACAGGGACGACAGGCGAUGUCAUGGCGGAUGCCUGCAGAGCUUCGAGGGCGACGGGGCUGAGGCCAGGGGCGACGGAGGAUGUGGCCGGGACCGGCGCGAGAGGUGGUGGCCGAUGGGCGAGGUGAUGGCCGGCGGGCGUGGUGGUAGCCGGACGCCGGAGGAGCUUCGCGCGCGCAAAGGCCGUGGCCGGGGGCGAUGGGGAUGGAGCCGGGGCCAGGGCCGGGGGCGAAGGGAGAAGUGGUCGGGGCCGGCGGGAGAGGUGGUGGCCGCUGGGAGAGGUGGUGACAUGCGAUGGCGUGUGGAUAAGGGAGAGACCAGAGAGAGAUCGUGGUGGGGGAGAGGAUAAGGUUGAGAGAUCGCGGUGGGAGAGAGAUCGCCCAAGUGCUGC